rnacentral:lncRNA from 1 species
GAAUGUGAGGGCGGUGCUGUGUCGUCGGUGUGGACCUGACGCCGCGCCGUCUAAAGUCCGCGCCGAACAGCUCGGAUCACUUCCCUGGUGCCUCGUCGUACACUGGAUGCACUCCAUAGAUGGCAGGAAAUGGCCUACUGUGGAUUUGUGGGAAAGAAGGAAAGGCCAGUGAGCAGGCAUUAACGGAGCCAAUUGACCAUAAAAAUGCCCCUGGUAAUUUCUACUAUGAAAUGUGCUAUCCUUUUUUACUACCAGUCAAGUCGUGUACAAGGCAAGUUUGAACAUUGUUAUAUGUGCCUAUUUGUUUCCAGAGCUGUGAAGCAACAUUUUUUGGUAAUUAGUCACAAAAUUACAGUUCAAAGGCUUGUAUUUUGUGCCUAUUUUUUAAGUAUGG